rnacentral:piRNA from 1 species
UGUUGAACUGGCUUNCAAAAAACGUGGAUGC